rnacentral:rRNA from 1 species
UACGUAGGGGGCAAGCGUUGUCCGGAAUCAUUGGGCGUAAAGCGCGUGUAGGCGGCUCGAUAAGUCUGCUGUGAAAGUUCAGGGCUCAACCCUGAAAUGCCGGUGGAAACUGUCGAGCUAGAGUCCGGAAGAGGCGAGUGGAAUUCCUGGUGCAGCGGUGAAAUGCGCAGAUAUCAGGAGGAACACCAAUGGCGAAGGCAGCUCGCUGGGACGGUACUGACGCUGAGACGCGAAAGCGUGGGGAGCAAACAGG